rnacentral:rRNA from 1 species
CAGCAGCCACGGGAAUACAGAGGGUGCGAGCGUUAAUCGGAUUUACUGGGCGUAAAGCGUGCGUAGGCGGCUUGUUAAGUCGGAUGUGAAAUCCCUGAGCUUAACUUAGGAAUUGCAUUCGAUACUGGGAAGCUAGAGUAUGGGAGAGGAUGGUAGAAUUCCAGGUGUAGCGGUGAAAUGCGUAGAGAUCUGGAGGAAUACCGAUGGCGAAGGCAGCCAUCUGGCCUAAUACUGACGCUGAGGUACGAAAGCAUGGGGAGCAAACAGGAUUAGAUACCCCCGUAGUCCCUGUCUCUUAUAC